rnacentral:rRNA from 1 species
UACGAAGGGGGCUAGCGUUGUUCGGAUUUACUGGGCGUAAAGCGCACGUAGGCGGAUCGUUAAGUCGGGGGUGAAAUCCUGGAGCUCAACUCCAGAACUGCCUUCGAUACUGGCGAUCUUGAGUCCGGAAGAGGUUGGUGGAAUUGCGAGUGUAGAGGUGAAAUUCGUAGAUAUUCGCAAGAACACCAGUGGCGAAGGCGGCUCACUGGCCCGUUACUGACGCUGAGGUGCGAAAGCGUGGGGAGCAAACAGG